rnacentral:lncRNA from 1 species
UAUUAAUUACAUGGAGAUGGUUAAUGAAGAAUAUCUACACAAUUCUCCUUUCUCAAUCUCUUUCACAAGUGUCUGUGACUCUGAGUGAAUCUUGGUAAAUGGAAAUCACAAUCACCUUCAACAUCCACUUUUAUGUCCCAUUUCCUGUGGGCAUUUUUCCUCAUCUGCAAAAUGAGGGGGUUGUAAUAGAUAAUCUCUCUCUGAUGCCCUUCAGUUCAUUCUCGUUUAUAUUCCAAAUUUGGAAUUAUAGGGCACAGGGAAAUGUGAGUAUUUUUGUGCUUCCUGGCUUCGUUUGGAUGGACCUGAUGAUAUAUAGUGAAGCACCUUCUUGCUCAAAUCAAACCUUCCUGUUGGGUUUACCAGGUCACUCCAGGGCCCAGCUGCAGCCUCUGCCAGACAGGGGACCAGGAGAACUCUUUUUCACUCAAAACAAGAUGGAUGGCAUUUCUCUUCAUAUCAGGUCACAAUAAAGCUCCUUAAAGUAUCAUUUCCAUUUUAGCGUCCUUCACAUUUCCCUACUGUCUAUGUAAACACAUACUCUCCAUAAAGGCUGUGCAUUUUAAGGUACUUGAAUAAAGCCAUAGAAGAGGAAU